rnacentral:rRNA from 1 species
CUUCCAGGUCUAUGUAUCCCUUACACACCCCAAUUGAAUGAUGAAGAAUGUAGUCAAUGGGCUUCAAAGCCUAUAAAACAAAAUACAACUUUCAGCAACGGAUCUCUUGGCUCUCGCAUCGAUGAAGAACGCAGCGAAAUGCGAUAAGUAA